rnacentral:tRNA from 1 species
GGGCCUGUAGUUUAAUGGCAGUACACUGCAUUCGCAUUGCAGAGAUGCGAGUUCAAUUCUCGCCGGGUCCACCC